rnacentral:lncRNA from 1 species
AAUACAUAAUGUGUCAACUACAAAGAAUAAUAAAAUAUAUAAAUAAUUCUUACACCAAUAAUUGCCUAUAUGAUAGAAAAUAAAUAAUUCUUUCAUUAAUCAUUCCAUUUCACAAUAACAUGGGACGUAAUAUAUUGUAUAAUAUAUAUAUAUUUAUAAUCAUUUGAGCAAAUCAGACAACUAUUUUUCUUCCUCCAGUAGCUUUAAAUUUGCCUUGACAAAUGCAGCACAAAGAUUAAAACAUUGUUCUAUCGAGCAAUUUCCAUUUAGUAAUUACAGAACCAUUUUACAGGAAAAGUAUUUUAAUUAGAUCAGAUGGGUACAAAUUAAUCUAAUUUGAAUACCGGUAUACUAGUUUGAUACUUAUAACUGAUGCCAUUAUCACAUCAUAACUUGUAUAUAGCCUUGACAAUUUAAUAAAAAUCAUGACCAAUUUUCAUCAUUGUCUUAUUAUUGUUUAAUAUAUGCAAAACAUUGGAAUCUAGGACUACAAAUGUGUUAUAUCCAAAAUCAUCUCUCGAGCCUAAAAAUUCAUAAGGAAACUGUUACGUGUAUAAUAGCAUAAUAUAAAGUGCAUUGAUAGGAGAAAGUCUGAAACCAAUCACUGUACAUUCCCAAAAAUGCUAAUAUCUCAAUUAUGUAAGUUAAUAAAAUAUAUAAAUACUUCUCGAAACCAAUAAUUGCCUAUAUAAUAAAAAAUAAACAAGAAUGUGUCCAUAGUACAUGGAUGCCCCACUCGCACUAUCAUUUUCCAUGUUCAGUGGAACGUGAAAUUGGGGUCAAAACUUUAAUUUGGCAUAAAAAUUAGAAAGAUCAUAUCAUAGGGAACAUUUGUACUAAGUUUCAAGUUUAUUGGACUUCAACUUCAAUAAAAACUAAUCUUUUGUGGAUAGUUGUCUCAUUGGCAAUCAUACCACAUCUUCUUUUUCAUAUUGACCAAAAAAUUUAACCAGAAGCGGGAUGGACGGACGACCAAAUGAACGAACAAACAGACGAACGAACAGAGGGACGAACGAACCUACAGACCAGAAAACAUAAUGCCCUUCUACUAUUGUAGGUUGGGCAUAAUAAUUCAUUCAUUAAUUAUUCCGUUUUACAAGAAUUAAAUACUAUGGAGAAAACAAUUUAUCCAUAUACAUAAUUUUUCAAUCAUUUGAGCAAAUCGGACAUCUAUUUUUCUUCCUUCAGUAGCUUUAAAUUAGUCUUCACAAAGGGAGCACAAAACAACCUAUUAAUUAAAACAUAAUUUUUUCAAACCAAAUUUGGAAACAAUUGCCAAUUAGUGAUAGAGAGAGUUUCCAAAUGGGAAAGGUUUUUUGUAACAACAGAACCAUUUUACAGGGAUAAAAAGUAUUCAAGUUAGUCAGAUGCAUUUAAUUUUACCUGUUUGGUAUUAGUGAUGUCAUUAUCACAUCAUAAUUUGUAUAUAGAAUUGACAAUUUAAAAUAAAUCAUGACCAAUUUUCAUUGAUAAUUAUUGUAUGGUUAUAUGCAAAACAUGGGAAUCUAUGACUACAAACUGAAACCAAUCAAUAUCUCAUUAAUUACAUGAUGCAGGUUCAAAAUAAUUGGAGGGUCUUGCAUGGUUGUGUACUUAAAACUACAACUGACAAAUCAUGCAAGACAUGUUAUGAGGCCUUCUCUAGAUUGUAUAACAUAUACUUAAUUUGGAAACAGAGGUGAAAACUAAGGGUUCAAUAAAAACCACAUUUAAACUAUGUUCAAAGUAAGCACCUGUUCUAUAAGAAACCAAUUCAGUUGUAAAAUAUGAUGUAAAAAUUGUUUGUCAGAAAAAAAAACAGACUAGAAUGAAUCUCAAAGGCAUAUACAUAAAGACAACAUAGAGCAAAGAUAAGAUAUUACUAUCUGUAUACAUGUAGUUAUUGAUAUAAAAAAAAAUGAGACAAAAUGUCUGGUAUAAUGUAAACAUAAGAGACAGGUGUUUUUGGUUUUUCAAUGUAUGUAUCAAUGAAUGAGACUGCUUUUUGUAGCACUAUUACAAAAAAAAAAUAUUAAUAAUACCUAAGAAGUUUUGCCAUAAAUAUAUGCAUUAAAUCAGUUAGCAAGUUGAAUGCAAAAUAUUUGAAAGAAUCACAAUGAAAUUGAAUGCUCCACUCUGAAUAAAAUUAUCUUGGCACUUAUUCAGAUAUAUGUAUUACACUAAAAUCUUUGCAAUUAAUCCAAACCCAACCUUUAUUUGAAGAAAGAGAUCACCUUAAAGUUUUAAUAUACACCAAUCAAAAGUUUUCUUCCUUAAUAGAAAAUAAAAUGCAAGAACACUUUUUUGCUCAACUUGUAACCCCAAAAUUAUGAUUACAUAUAUUGUUCAAAUAUAUGAAUCAAGAUUUUUUGCAUCAGCUUUUGACAAAGCAGGUAUUGG